rnacentral:rRNA from 1 species
AGCGAACGCUGGCGGCAGGCCUAACACAUGCAAGUCGAACGGACCUUUCGGGGUUAGUGGCGGACGGGUGAGUAACACGUGGGAACGUGCCUUUAGGUUCGGAAUAGCUCCUGGAAACGGGUGGUAAUACCGAAUGUGCCCUUAGGGGGAAAGAUUUAUCGCCUUUAGAGCGGCCCGCGUCUGAUUAGCUAGUUGGUGAGGUAAUGGCUCACCAAGGCUACGAUCAGUAGCUGGUCUGAGAGGAUGACCAGCCACAUUGGGACUGAGACACGGGCCAAACUCCUACGGGAGGCAGCAGUGGGGAAUCUUGCGCAAUGGGCGAAAGCCUGACGCAGCCAUGCCGCGUGGAUGAUGAAGGUCUUAGGAUUGUAAAAUCCUUUCACCGGUGAAGAUAACGACUGUAGCCGGAGAAGAAGCCCCGGCUAACUUCGUGCCAGCAGCCGCCGUAA